rnacentral:misc_RNA from 1 species
GAUGAAAACGUAGCGAAAUGCGAUACUUGGUGUGAAUUGCAGAAUCCCGUGAACCAUCGAGUCUUUGAACGCAAGUUGCGCCCGAAGCCAUUAGGCCGAGGGCACGCCUGCCUGGGCGUCACACGUCGUUGCCCCCCCAUCUACUCCUUCGGGAUUGCGGGUGGCGGAUGAUGGCCUCCCGUGCGCCUCGUCGCGCGGUUGGCAUAAAUGCCAAGUCCUCGGCGACGCACGCCACGACAAUCGGUGGUUGCGAAACCUCGGUUGCCCGUCGUGUGCGGUCGUCGCGCAUCGAGGGCUCGAAAAAAUUGCCGGGCUCCGGCUCGGCUUUCAACGCGACCCCAGGUCAGGCGGGGUUACCCGCUGAAUUUAAGCAUAUCAAUAAGCGGAGGA